ACAAAGUAGAAGUGUUCAACUUACAAAACUGACAUAAUACAAAGUCCAGAAAAUCAUUUUGCCGCAAACUUAAGGAACUAAUUAUAUCUUUCUGCUUAACUUUCUUUUAAUUACAUCUGAUAGUCUAAAUAACCACAUUUGAACACAGGCGUAUCAAUCACCCUCUCUCCCUCCCCCAUUUUCUCUUUCUCUUUUUUGGUGAAUAGCCUGAAAAUCGCGGCCGAAUUCGAUCGCUUUUUGGUCAAAAUUUAGGUGGCGUAACCCAUAGGUCUUGUAACCCUCUUCAUUGUAUAUCUCCUUAAGAAAUUGCAAUCAAUUUGAAUGGUGGGAUUAUCAACGACAUACUGUUGAAUAUCAAAGCUCCACCACUUUCUCCUAUCAAGAUCAAUGUCAUCUCAAGCGCCACGAGGAGACGAAUCCAACCACACAAAAACCCUAAAUUUUCAUGGCCAGGUCUUUUCUAAAUCGAGCUUAUGUUGUCCACCUCCCUCCAUCUCUCUCCCUUACAGCCUCUCAGUUCUUUUUUCUAUCUUUUUUGUAUUAGGAGCCUAUGUUCUGUAUUUUGUACUUGUAUUUUUUUGUAUAUAUGUUUGUAUUUUUCUAUACUUUAUUGGUAAUGUCCGU
rnacentral:lncRNA from 1 species